UCUUAUUUUUACCUAAUCGGCUCUCGCGAGCGUAGGAUCUCAGCGGACUCUGCCUCCAAACGCGUCUUUGUACGGAGCAUCGAUUCCAUGGCGAGCAACGGCGAUAAGGUCACCGUCACAGCGGAGAAUGGCGGGGAAUUCUCCUCCGUUGAAAACCCUAAGAAGAUUGUGGACCUUAACUCGGCGGGAUCAGAUCGUGCCGAGGACCCUCCCGGCACCGAGACCGUAGCACUGCCGGAAUCGGGAGGUACUUUGGCUACGGAGGGAGGUAAGAAGAAUGACGGUCAUAGCUCGAAGGUUACCGGAGCCGCGAGCGACGCAAGUUCUGGGAAUAAAUCACCUGUUAAUGAUAUCCAGAAGAAGAUCCAACGUGCUGAGAGGUUUGGUUUGCGUAUACAGCUUACGGAGGAGGAGAAACGGAAUUCUCGUGCUGAGAGGUUUGGAACCGCAACUUUUGUGAAUGACUCAGAGAGUACAAAGAAAGCAGAGGAGCUGAAGCGAAAGUCUAGGGCUGAGAGAUUUGGGCUUCCCAUAUCGUCUGCACCCGCUGCUGAAGAGGCAAAGAAGAAAGCUAGGCUGGCCCGAUUUGGGGCAGACACCAAAACUGAUUCUGCUGAGGAGGAGAAACGUAAAGCUAGGACAUUGAGGUUUUCAAAACCUUUAUCAAACUCAUCUUCAGAUGCAUCUGGGAAGCAAAGCGUCAGCAAUGAGGCAGCUGUAUCAGGAAAUGUUGCUUGAGGUGCCAGAAUAAAGCUCUUUCUUUUUGGUAGUUUAGGUAGGCUAUAUAAGGUAGCGCGCUAACAUUUUGUGGUUGUUCCCUCUCUGGCUGCUUCACCCUCAUCUCAAUUUCUGACUUAAAAGUUACUGCAAGUAGUCGGGUGGAUAUCAAAUGGACCAGGGUUCAGUUAUCACCACCAGAUGAGAUCUUGAGAAAUCAACGAGUACCUUUUAGUGCUAAUAGUCUAAAAAAGCAAUAUUAAUGGGCUAGGAUCUAGGAAUUCUGAAGCAGCAGUGCCAAUCACGUACUGGACUUUUUCUAUGUUGCAGGUGCUUGAAGCGGUAAGUUUGAGUCGGUAACUACUUUCAUCUCAUUUAUAUGUCAUCCAAAAAUGUCCUUGCAUAUUUGUGCAAGCACAGAUAGCAGUAAUACGUAGUUACUGUGUGCAAUGAGUAUUUUCAAAGUUGCAAGAACAAAUCAACCAAAGCAUUGAUUAUGAUAGAAAAGAAAUGGGAAGAUAAAAGGUUGGAGCUAAAGCCUACUUGGAGCGUGAUCUGAUUAGUAUAGUUCACCUGAACCUUUUAAAACCGUAGUUUGUUGCUCUAUUUACUGUAGAAGUGGAUUUCGUUAGAAGUACUUUUCCUUUUUUUUAGUUGUGUUCCAUUUUUCUUAACAUUCCAUGCUGGUGUGUUCUUGUGUGUUUUUCUUAAACCGUGCUAUUCGGCUAUCGUAGCUAUCAAAAUUGGCAUGUGUUUUUUUUCUUUUUCGCGCCUUUUAUAUCAUGCUUAUCCAUAUGAUUUCACAAGCUGCUGCUUCAGAAUUCCAAUGUUAUUAUAGACCUCAUUAGCAUUACAGAGGUACUCGUUGAUUUCCUUCUCUCUGGGUGCCAUCGUCUGUUGGCAGAGACAGCUUCAGACUGCAGCUGAAGCUCCAUGGUGGGACUUUUAUGACUGUAACCAUUGAGAUUCUCUGUUUGUAAUAGAAUUUAGACACCCGCUUUUGCAAAGACUUUGUGUCAAACAAUUUCAAACACAAUGCCAGAUGACUUGUUCGAGGGAAUGUAAUAUUUAGUGUUUCUUUUUA